rnacentral:lncRNA from 10 species
GGCAAGCAGCACACAGGAGGUCACCAACUGUUGCGUGUUCACUGGGACCCGCUCUGCUGGUCAGGGGCACUACACCAUCCUCAGGAGCUAUGAUGUGAACCCCAGGAGGUACCUGGGGGCUGCAUGGCAAGCAGAUCUGCUAGGAGUGCACCAGUCUUCCUGAUGCCCUGGACCCUCCAUGGGAGAUGUUCCUCCUGACUGUCUAGUUGGCCAUCUUGCCCCCUGAAUCCCUCCCUGGAGUUUUGAACUCUCAGAGCCUCCUGCAAUUAAUUCACGCUGAAUCACAAGCAAUUAGGCAAUUACAGUUCAGGUUUUCCUACCCUGGCACUGGUUCCCUUGGAGGUUUCUGCUUUAGAUUUCUGCUCUGGUA